UGAGGGCGGGGAAUUAACGUUUCUCAAAUAUACAAGGAAGCCCAGACUCAGAAUGUAGACUCAGAGCAGGGAGGGGACCUUUUAGCCCAGCCUUUUCACGCCAGGACAGCUCGCCUGCCAGGCAGUUCUCCACCCUCUCUCGCCCCGCCCCGCUCCUAACGGGACAGUCAGCAUCCCCCCUGAUUGGACAGCACUGUUCCAGGGGACAAGUCAACCUGGGCCUCCCUCUACAUCCCCUCCCCUGCUCAUCAGGGCCCACCCCGAGCCACACGGCGGAGCCCUGAAUUGGGCCAAAGAGGUGCCCUAUGGGAGAUGGAAGGGAGUCAAGGAUGUUGCCAUGUAUGUGCCAUCUCUGCCCUAAGCCAAUAUCAUGAAGAAAUCAACAAGAGGUGGAAUAAACUGAGCAAUUCAUCACCAUAUUAAGCUGGAUAUUCCUGUUUAGUAAAUAUCUUUCCCUAGCUGGUAUCCUUGCAUCCUGUGAGGGGGAGGAGGUGCAGGCACUAAGCAGAUUCCUGGAAAUCAAUGGCCAGAGGCGAUGUUUUCAGAGAGGCCUUCAUCCUUCUCCUAACAUUGCUUUGGUCUCCAGGCCCAUGCACUGCUAAGAUCCCAAGAUUCAGACUGGGGGAUGGGAGUUGAGGAGAUGCCACCUUUAGGCUGAGCUGGGAGCUUCUGUCCACCUUUAUCAGACUUGAUCAGACUGUGCACCCUGGGGUAUCACCCUCUGCUUCAAUUAACACAAUGACUUCCCACCUUCGCAUCCUCCUCCUUCAAGGGGGACUUGGCUCGGUCAAUUAUUUCCUUCACCUUUUGCAUGUUCAGUGUUUUCCUUUCUUCCCGAGGCUUCCCCUCUGUGGACCAACAUGUUCCUCCAUGGCAAAAACAAAAACAACCAGCCCAAACCAGUUCUUUCUGCCCUCCUGCCCUCUGCAGGUCAGCGCUGCCUCCUCCCUCCCUUUCAUGGCAUUGAAUGGUGAGAGUGCAAUACCCUCAGUGGCGCCUAACAGUCAGCAGUGAGCGCUCAGGACCGUCACCCACCUCUGCGGCCGAUGACCCUCUCUUUGGCUCUGGCCCCAGCCGGCCUUGCGCUGUUCCUUCUCACGGUUUUUCCUGGCUCAUCUUCGUGCCCCCUCCCCUGAGGGUCCUGGAGGUCUGAGCCCUCUGGCCGCCUCUCCUCUCUCCUUGCACUCCUCCUCUCAUGGAGCGACCCCGUCUGUGCCACCUUCUCACCUUCCAUGUCACACACCUUCAGCCUUCACUGAGGAGAGAGCAGGGCUGCAGCAUCGUGUUCCAGUCUCAUCCCUCACGGAGCCGAGAACUAAAAAUUGAAACAGAGAAACCUCCUGACAAGGCCGCUGGCAAGUUCAAUGGGAACAACUCAGGUUUUCAGAAAGAAGUAUGAUCCCUGGAGCCAGCGGGUUCAAAAGAACGAAGAGAUUUAUCAAGAAUGAGACAUACCAGACCAGCUGCGUUGCUUUCCAUUGACAGGAAGCAAAUCAGCUGCUCAGGAAAAGGUCAAGCAUGGCACCUGGUCUCAGAGAGGUGUCCGUCAAAGGCUGUCAUAACAGCCCUAUGGACAAGAAGGAGACCUGGGCCAGGUGAGAAUGAUGCAAAACCAUUUGUCCCAAGGAGUUGUGGAUGGGACUUAGGGAAAGGAGGGGCUCCAGAGGCACUGUGACAGUGUCAGAGUGACUACAGGCUCCUCAGGAGAUGUUGAGGGAAAAGAAAGGGCUGGGACGUGCCCUAAGACUUCUGUGCGCAGGCACUGGUCCCCUCUGCUGAUUCAGGGCUCCCCUAAAACAGCCACCCUCAUCACGAGUAUGGUACCAGGCAGUGGCAAAACCUGUUCAACAUCAGCAGGGCCGGGCGCAGUGGCUCAUGCCUGUAAUCCCAGCACUUUGGGAGGGCAAUGCAGGAGGAUCACUUGAGGCCAGGAGUUCGAAACCCCUUCUCUACAAAAAAUACAAAAAUCAGCCAGGCUUGAUGGUGCAUGCCUGUAGUCCCAGCUCCUUGGGAGGCUGAGGUGGGAGUAUUGUUUGAGCCUGAGAGGUUGAGGCUGCAGUAAGCUAUGAUUGCACCACUGCACCAAAGCAAGACCCCAUUUCAAAAAACAACAAACAAACCAAAAACACACCAGCAGGUUCUGACUGCAGCCUCAGAAAGCCCCCGGCUUUCCUGUUCAGCAAGCAGGCGCCCUGCAGAGUGAAGGAUGCUUUCCCAGAGCCACCCUCAAGUGCUGCUGGAGGCCCAGAUUCCUUCAAAUGACCUGGGCAGCCCUGCCGGAAUGCAGUGUGACAACAGAAACAAGUUGGCUGCUUGGGGAAACCAUGCGGGCAUCCCCAGGGUCUGAUUUGGUAACCGCAGAUAUUCUUUGAUAAAUUGUAGAACCAUUAGGCACUGGUCUGGGCAGUAUGUGUAUGGAUGGGGAAUCUGUUUAUGAGAAUAUAAAAUAAAACGUGCAAACACAGGAGAAGUAGAAGAUACAGGUGGCAGGGGUAGAGUGAGAACUGAAGUCAGGACUGGGGAGCUGGAGGAGGAAAUCAGGCCUGAAGAAACUUUGUGGCUGAAGCCAGCAAAUCUUGUAUAUAUAGGAUCUCCAUGAACUGUCCUAAAAUUUCCAAGAGAAGGAGACAUCCGUCAAGUAGAAGACAAAAAGGGAUGCUGACCAGGGAGGCCGGAUGCUGGAUGUGGUCUAGGAGGAAGCCUUGGAAUUUUCUCACUCUGGAUUGUGGAACCACAAAGUCAGCCUGGAGCUGCCUACAUCUGGACACCUAGGCUCCUGUCAGAGCCAGUUUAUUAUUUCCAGUCACUCAUUACUGGGAUUCUCCUCUCCCUGGGGCGUUAUGAAGGUAAGGAGAGGGUUCUUGGGCAGUCAGUUUCAGCAUUAACCGUUUUAUUCCCACAUUUGGCAAUAGGGCUUGCCGUCCAUUAUUUAUGGCCUCUGUCUUAAUCUGUUCUGUGUUGCUAUAACACGAUACCACAGACUGGGAAAUUUAUGAAGAAAAUCAAUUUAUUUCUCACAGUUCUGGAGUCUGGAAGUUCAAUAUCAAAGUGCCAGCAUCUGACAAGGGCCUUCUUGCUGAGACAUCCCAUGGCAGAAGCCAAAAGAGCAAGAGAGAGCGAGGGCAAGUGAGCAAAAGGAGGCCAAACUCACUUUUAAAACAGCCCACUCUAGAGAUAACUAACCCACUCCCUCAAAAAUGACAUUAAUCCAUCAGGAGAGCAGAACGCUUAUGACCUAAUCACCUUAUUAGGCCCCACCUCCUAACACUGUUGCAUUGGGGAUUAAGUUUCCAACACAUGAGUUUUGGAGAACACAUUCUCAAACCAUAGCAGCUUCCUUCCAAAACCUGUCUCAACUGCCCAAAGCCUUUUCCAGACUCUUCUUCUACUUGCAAACCCUCUAUUCAAACCAAAGAAACAAUUAAUAUAACCUUAAAUUUACAAAACCAUGUGGUUUGUUAAACAAUCACAUACAACCUUUUUUUUUUU
rnacentral:lncRNA from 1 species